UACGUAGGGGGCAAGCGUUGUCCGGAAUCAUUGGGCGUAAAGAGCGCGUAGGCGGUCCGGUAAGUCCGCUCUGAAAGUCCGGGGCUCAACUGCGGGCUUGCGGACGAUACGGGCAGGCUGGAGUUCGGUAGGGGAGACUGGAAUUCCUGGUGUAGCGGUGAAAUGCGCAGAUAUCAGGAGGAACACCGGUGGCGAAGGCGGGUCUCUGGGCCGUAACUGACGCUGAGGAGCGAAAGCGUGGGGAGCGAACAGG
rnacentral:rRNA from 1 species